rnacentral:ncRNA from 1 species
UCCGAGCCUGCGCGUCUAAACGCAACGCGCAUGAUCCGCAGGCCGUCUGCCGAAAAACCACAGGCCGCUUUCGCGGUCUCCGGCAAAGGGCGCAUUCGGAAACGAACCCGCCUUCCGUGUUUGAAAAGGAGUUGCGG